rnacentral:misc_RNA from 1 species
UGAACAACCUAACAUUUUUCCAGCUUCCUAGUUCUUUUGGACCAUUGCAUUUCACUCUUGAUAACAAUAAUUAUUUUUCAGGUAAACUAUAUUAUGCAUGAACUAAACUAGUGUUUGUUCAUAUAGAUUUUACAGUCUCUGAAACAUAACAGAAUAUGUGAAUUCUAAGAAACUACUCUACAGUACUAUUAAGAUUCAACAGUUUCGAGUUCAAACAAUUGAGAUUCAAACCACUCCAAAUUCUCGUACACCAUAAAAUUAGCCCUCAGAAAUUUUUGACCAUCUAGCUCAAUGUAAUGCAUGAAUGCUGUGCAGGACCAAAAUCAAAUAAAGGAAUCAUCAUUGG